GGAAAUUGAAUAUAAUAAUAAUUAUAGAUAUUAAUACUAUUGGCAUGGGUGAAUCUUUGCCGGGUGCUGUAAUGAAAUAUAUUGUCUUAGUUAACACGCUGGCACACUCUCGCCUUCCUCUUCCCUUUCCUCCGCCACUCCCACUUAUUUCAUUGCUUUUCCCCAUUUCAUGCACAACUUUCUUUGAAAUUUGAAAUUUGUUAGGUUAGGGUUUUUGGGACAAAAAGGGUCAGCAUCAUCGAGAUUUGAUUUGAGAUUUUGAUUAUUGAGAAUCAAUCGGUGGGAGUAGGGGCAUGGAGAACGGUCACGAUGGGAAAUUGGCGGGCAAAUUAUCGGGAUUGGCCCUCAACGACAAGGAGCUCUUCAACGACGAUAGCUUGUUUCAGGUCAUGAAAGCCGUUGAGGCCGCCGAAGCCACCAUUAAACAACAGGCGGAAGAGAACAAUCGAUUAAGGUCUGAACUCCAGAAAAAAAUUGAGCAACUCGAAAAAUAUAAAGUGGAUGGUGGUAGUAAUCUGAAUGCUUCAGCUGACAAAGCUGCCAAUACCGAUUUUAAUGGAACUUUCACUGCACCUGCUUCUUCUUCUUCUGACAAUAACAAGGGCCUUCCUAUUUCUUUUCCCUCUUCACCUUUAUCAGCUGUCUCUUUUCCCCCUACCAGGCGUCAAUUAGAUGGAGAAUAUGAUUCUACAUUGCCUCAAGGUCUCAUGCCGAUUCCCAAAGAUGUUACCCUAAAGGCACGGGAACAAGAAGAAGAGAUUUUGCAGUUGCGCAAACAGCUUGCUGAAUUUUCUGUCAAGGAAGCACAAAUACGCAAUGAAAAAUAUGCUCUUGAAAAGCGCAUUUCCUACAUGCGAUUGGCCUUUGAUCAGCAACAACAGGAUCUUGUUGAUGCCGCAUCAAAAGCUCUCUCUUAUAGACAAGACAUCAUAGAGGAAAAUAUUCGUCUUGCAUAUCAGUUACAGGCCGCCCAGCAAGAAAGAACAACUUUUAUUUCAUCUUUGCUUCCCCUUCUGACAGAAUAUUCCCUGCAGCCACCAGUACCUGAUGCUCAGUCCAUUGUAAGCAAUGUCAAGGUUCUAUUUAAACAUCUGCAAGAGAAGCUUAUUGUUAUUGAGUCAAAGCUUAAGGAGUCACAAUAUCAAUUGGCACCUUGGCGGUCGGAUGUCAAUCAUUCCAAUUUUGCCCCCCAAUCUCCAUUACAUUCCCUUGGUGCCACACUGCCUACAUCAAGCAAAAAUGGCCUUGAAUUGGUGCCACAACCAACUUAUUCCCUAGGAAAGACGCAGUUAAUUUCUGAUGCUCAAAAAGACUUUAAAUGGGAUGUACCCAGUCAGCAGCAAGGUGGCUUGGGUGGUGGUGUUGCAUCUAAAAAUUUGGAACCUGAUGAUUUGGGGAGGUAUUCACCUAUAGCAAGCAGGGCUUCCACUCCCAAUGAGAUACCAACACAGCCGGCAGUUAUUCCCAGUGACACCCACAUUACAAGAUAUGGUGAAGAUACAAUUAAUAAACAAGUUGCAUUUCGUGACCCUGUUAGCAGUAGUGAGAUGGAUUAUCCUGAAGCUGAGGGACACCAGAAUGAAAGAGAACCUCCCUCCAACUGGGGUUCAGGAAACUCUCCUUAUGCCGCUGCAAAUGAUGAGCCCGGUCCAUCGUACCCUCCUUAUCUACCACCAGUUCUUAAGGAGCCUUCGUCUUCUUUCUCUGAGGCUGCAGAGGAUGACCCACUUCCAGCUAUAGAAGGUCUCCAAAUUUCUGGUGAAGCUUAUCCAGGAAGGGAACUCCAGGCAUGCGGAUAUUCUAUUAAUGGAACUACCAGCUGUAAUUUUGAGUGGGUGCGUCAUAUGGAAGAUGGAUCUGUUAAUUAUAUUAAUGGAGCAAAGCAACCAAACUAUCUUGUUACUGCUGAUGAUGUCGAUACAUACCUUGCUAUUGAAGUCCAGCCUCUAGAUAACAGGAAUCGCAAGGGAGAGCUGGUGAAGGUCUUUGCCAAUGAGCACAAGAAGAUCACUUGUGAUCCGGAGAUGCUAGGCCAUAUAGAGAAGACUCUUUAUAGUGGUCAUGCUUCAUAUAAAGUUUCAUAUUCGGCAGGAUAUCUAGAUAUAUGGGAGCCGGCUACAUUGGCUAUUAAGAGGGAUGGUUAUACUAUUAAGUGUAGUGGACCCCAUGGUCUUGUAGUCACCGACAAGUUUCAUCCAAACACUGAGAUUAAGAUAACAUUUGGAGAGCCUACAGAGUUUAUGAUUAUUGGAUCAAAUGGUGCUCAGCGUCUGUUACGAGCUGAUAGCAGCUCUCCAGAUAUUAGCUGGCUGUGUUUCUUCCUCCCACCUCCUUUGUUUGUGUGAGCAUACAAAAUCGAAGCCAUUUAUACGGAAUCCUAUUCUAGCUAGACACAAGUUUAACAUUUCGGUUUCACUGGCAUUAUGCAUUCUGAGUUCAUUCAAGAGAUGCAAUUGCGCUCACCUUGAGAUUAUUUAUCAUACGGCUUGCACAGGCUGGUGGGAGGAAGAAAGGGAAAAAGAGAGGUUUAUUCUUUAACAAGGUACAUGGUUAACUCAGUAUUAACUAUUGAUAUUGUGUAGUGAUAUUAUUUAUUAUUAUUUUAAGACCGGCUAUCUUGGCAAAGCCGUAACUUUUCGAGCUAGCUAGCUAGGUCGCUUUUGUGUUCAAAUAUUUUGUUUAAAGGCAGGCAGCUGUGUUGAGUUUGUAAUUACAAACUGUAUCAAUAUUUUUGGCCCCCAAUGCUGUAAUAUAUCUCAGCCCUUAUUAGUA